AUGGCUGUUGAAAAACUGUCUAGGUGAUGUAGGGAUUAAAGGAAGUAAAAUAUUCCAUCUUGACCCCCAAUGAACUAUCAAGAAAGGAGAAAAACAUGUUUGUUUUGGAUCAAAUGUUAUGUGCUGGCUUCUGUAGCAAAACAAAUGGAAAGGAAAGUUUAUGACUUUUAGAAUCAAGAAAUUUGCAAAGGAUCAUUCAUUUUAGUUUACGGCAUCGGAUCCAAGUUCUUUAAAAACAUUGUUUCACAUAUUGACCAAAACGGAUUCCUUCCAAGAAUACCUCAAACAAGAAUGGGCGUCCAAGUAAUGCAUCCAGCUCUGAACAACCGAACGAUACAGUUGCCUUUAAACGGAACAAUGUGGGAGAGUUUGGGCAAUUUAGCCAAAUGGCAAUCGACUUAUGUAAAACGUGUUUGGUUUACUCGUAACCUUUAAACACCUGACAGUUGUAAACUCAGACUGUUUUGGAAUACUUCAUAGCUUAAUUUAUAAACAGGAAGCUCUUCGUCAAGAACGUUCAGAUUAUAGAUUCAGAGAAAAAGAGAAUAGUUCUAUACGUGAAGUUCACCAUCAGACCUGUGCAUUUGAGUAACAGGAAAGUUAAUGGUAGACAUUAUUUCUCCUGGUGAAUUUACUUUAUUUCCCUUCUAAAGUUUCCAGAACUGCUUCUAGACACAAAUACUGGGGAUGGGACUGUUGUAACAGAAUUAAACACAUAUAAUGCUGAAUUGAACGAUCCUGAUACACUAAUUAUCUUCAACAAUUAUACACGUACAUUCAAUAUCAUGAUUAUCAUUUUCUGUGUUUGUAUUGCCUUCUUAUCACAUAACUGACCUCCAGAAAAUAAAUCGCUUUGUAAUUGAAUGUCUAGGUAAAGGAACACUCACUACCAAUUUUAGAUUUCCAUGGUUUUGACUUGACCAUCAGGAUGGAGAAUCGAACCUGAAACUUUCAAGUCGUGAAGCGACCACUUUAUCGACAAUGUUGCUGGGAUAUUAUUGAAUAUACUGAAUUUUAAACUAUUGUGUGUACAUGCAUAUUUGAAACGUUGUUUCAGAAUUCCAUUCUGGUUCUACACCAAACAUAUGUGGAUCGCCUUGUGUCACGUGUAACCAUGGCAUUCACGUGUGUAUGUAUUGUGCAGCGCAUCAACAUUUACACACAAUGACAUGUCGAUACAAAUGUAGCGAGAUUUGCUCUAGUGAUGACUGUUUUGGCAUAGAAGAUAACUGUACCAGCGACAUUACGAAGGAAAACGAAUUCAACAAUUACAGUAAGAUUUCUAUUUUAAAAAGUAUGAAGACAUAUAUUUCAAAAUCAUUACUUUUUUUUUUUUUUUUUUUUUUGCCGCAACAGAUAUAUCGAUACAUGUCAAUACGAGUCAAUCAUAUUGUAUAGCGCCUCAGUUUCAAUGUCUUUCAUUGUUUUGCCAUGGACCAAAUUCUUGAGAAAUAGAAUGUUACAGUUAGAUUUAGAGAUAUAACAUUUUCAUAGAACUUAGAAGUAGAAAAUAUCUAAUGAUGGGUUUCACAAUUUCAUGUUUUAUAUUUUCAGCUAUUUUGAUAAUUGAUUACACAACUUUAAUACUCAGAAAGUGUCACAAGGUUCAAUUCAAUGCCCGGUUCGAAUUAUCAUAUAUGUAAGAUGCAAGAUGUCCAAUUUCAUCAUGGUUUGGAUUGGAAAAAAAUGUUUAUUUUCAAGUUUCUAUAGUUUGCAGUAUUUACAUUUAAAUGAUGGCUCCUCUCUUCUAUCCAGAGGAUUUUUGUCACCAUAUCCAAAGAUGUUCAGAGUUGAAUUAGGAGGAAAUAAUAGAAUGACGUUCGAAUAUACACGUAUGAAAAUGAUACAUGUCGAGUGUAUAACAGUAGUAUUCCACUGUUUUAUAUAUCUUUGGUUUAUCAUGAUAUCUACAAUGUGCUGUUUCCUAUUGAUGCAGAUUUUUUUUUUUUUACAAAAUGCACCGCGAUAAUUUUGCCUGCAAUUUCCUGACUUAAAAGAACGGUAAGAAUCCUAAAAAGAAGGUAUGUAAACAUUUUCUACAAAUACUUCAUGUUUUCGAAAAAAGUAUAAAUAACCUGUUUUCUAUAUUAGUAAUCUAAAGGAUAAGAUAUUAAACUAUAUGAUACUCUAAAAUAUCUAACAUCGUACCAUAUAAAAACAAUAAUUCUACAUUUUUGUAUAAUAGUAGGUAAUAACCUUUUUAAAGAUGAUUACAUUAUCAUUGUAUGAAUUGUAUGAUCAUGUCAAUAUAUAUACCGUGUUUCAAGUAUCAUUUAAAAGAUUCACGAUUUUCAUUUCGAAUGUAAAUAGUUCGGCAAAGGAACAGUCGUUAUAUUUUCACAUCUCGCUUUAGGGGCAGACGAGAUUCAAACUCACUACCCUGCCAUUACGACACAAGAUUGACUGGAUACAAUAUUGCAAUGAACUGACAAGAGUUCCUGUCACACUGAACACAAGAUCAUCGUACAUGUGAUCCCGUGUGGAUCCUGGUUAGAAUAGGUCCUCAGUACCCCCUUGCCUGUCGUAAGAGGCGACUAAAUGGGGCUGUCCUUCGGAUGAGACCGCAAACACUAAGGUCCCGUGUCACAGCAGGUGUAGCACGAUAAAGAUCCCUCCC